AUUGAACGCUGGCGGCGUGCCUAACACAUGCAAGUCGAACGCGUGGCGGACGGGUGAGACAUGUCUGGGAACCUGCCUUAUGGAGGGGGUUAACUACUGGAAACGGUAGCUAAUACCGCAUACCUUCGGAUGUUCCCUGAUGGGAUUAGCUAGUAGCUGGGGUAACGGCUCACCAAGGAGACGAUCCCUAGCUGGUCUGAGAGGAUGACCAGCCACACUGGAACUGAGACACGGUCCAGACUCCUACGGGAGGCAGCAGUGGGGAAUAUUGCGCAAUGGGCGAAAGCCUGAUACAGCCAUGCCGCGUGUGUGAAGAAGGUCUUCGGGUUGUAAAGUACUGUCAGCGGGGAGGCGUUACCCGCAGAAGAAGCACCGGCUAACUCCGUGCCAGCAGCCGCGGUAAUUC
rnacentral:rRNA from 1 species